rnacentral:rRNA from 1 species
CAGUCGAACGAAGCACCAUGGACAGAAUUUUUCGGAAGGACGACUAUGGCGACUUAGUGGCGGACGGGUGAGUAACGCGUGGGUAACCUGCCCUGUACUGGGGGACAACAGUUGGAAACGACUGCUAAUACCGCAUAAGCGCACAGCAUCGCAUGAUGCAGUGUGAAAAACUCCGGUGGUACAGGAUGGACCCGCGUCUGAUUAGCUAGUUGGUGAGGUAACGGCUUACCAAGGCAACGAUCAGUAGCCGACUUGAGAGAGUGAUCGGCCACAUUGGGACUGAGACACGGCCCAAACUCCUACGGGAGGCAGCAGUGGGGAAUAUUGCACAAUGGGGGAAACCCUGAUGCAGCGACGCCGCGUGAAGGAAGAAGUAUUUCGGUAUGUAAACUUCUAUCAGCAAGGAAGAAAAUGACGGUACUUGACUAAGAAGCCCCGGCUAAAUACGUGCCAGCAGCCGCGGUAAUACGUAUGGGGCAAGCGUUAUCCGGAUUUACUGGGUGUAAAGGGAGCGUAGGCGGUAAGACAAGUCAGAAGUGAAAGGCUGGGGCUCAACCCUGGGACUGCUUUUGAAACUGUCUAACUAGAGUGCAGGAGAGGUAAGUGGAAUUCCUAGUGUAGCGGUGAAAUGCGUAGAUAUUAGGAGGAACACCAGUGGCGAAGGCGGCUUACUGGACUGUAACUGACGCUGAGGCUCGAAAGCGUGGGGAGCAAACAGGA